CGUCAUUGUUUAUCAAAAUAAAUAGUUUGAUUCUAAAUUUUGUUUAUUUGUUUCAGACGGUAAAUACAAAUAAAAAAAGGAAACAGAAAAAAGAAAAAAGAAACCAACACUACUUUGCGUUUCCAAAUAAAAUUGCGAAUGGAAAUGGGGAAUGUGUCAAAAAGACAACAACCCGACUAAAAAACAGACCGCAGCAGAAGGUCACCAAUAGGUCUUCAAUGUAGCGUGAAAUUCUCGAACCCAGA
rnacentral:lncRNA from 1 species